CCUACGGGAGGCUGCAGUGGGGAAUUUUGGACAAUGGGCGCAAGCCUGAUCCAGCUAUUCCGCGUGUGGGAUGAAGGCCCUCGGGUUGUAAACCACUUUUGUAGAGAACGCAAAGACACCUUCGCAUAACGGGUGUUGCUGACGGUACUCUAAGAAUAAGCACCGGCUAACUACGUGCCAGCAGCCGAGGUAAUACGUAGGGUGCGAGCGAUAAUCGGAAUUACUGGGCGGAAAGGGUGGGCAGGCGGUUGAGUAAGACAGAUGUGAAAUCCCCGAGCUUAAAUUGGGAAUGGGAUAUGUGACUGGUGGACGAGAGUGUGGGAGAGGGAGGGGGAAUGCCAGGUGUAGCAGGGAAAUGCGUAGAUAUGUGGAAGAAAACCGAGGGCGAAGGCAGCCUCCCGGGACAUAACUGACGCUGAGGCACGAAAGCGUGGGGAGCAAACAGGAUUAGAUACCCGUGUAGUC
rnacentral:rRNA from 1 species